rnacentral:misc_RNA from 1 species
CUGAGUUCUAAACUCCAAACCUUUGUGAACCUACCACAGUUGCUUCGGCGGCCUCGCCCCGGGCGCCCCGGAACCCCCAGCGGGUACCGUGGCGGUCCGGACCCAGGCGACCGCCGGGGGACCCAAACUCUUGUUUUCCAGUAUCUAUCUGAGUGGCAUAAGCAAAUAAUCA